AUAUAUAUAUAUAUAUAUAUAUCCAUGCCUAUCUAGCAUUCCUGUAACAAGACUUCAUCAAAACCCACACUAACUAAAUAAAUAAUUAAAACUAAUCAAAACAAACACUUAAAAAAAACAAAAUACCAAUAACUAAAAAAAAUCAAUUCUUAUAAUCUCACACAUCAUAUCCCAAUCUUCAAUCUUAACUAAAAAACGUAAAAUAUAAUUUAAAAAAAAAACUAAAAAAAAUUCAGGUUAUCACAACUUGGUUGUUUCAAAUUCGUAAAUCCUGUUUUCCAAGGAACUGACCUUCUCGAAAGCCCCGAAAGAGGUGGAAAGAAAAGGAAACAACCUGCCAAAACUAAGACAGCCCUUGCUUUUCCAUUGAAGAAAACCAAAAGAAGCACAAGUUUCAAACAAGCUUUUCUUGUUGACUCUGAUGAUGAACAAGAUCCUCCACAUCUUCAAAAGAAAGUAUAAUCUCAGAGUGCUAGUCAAACGGCUGAAACAAUGCUUUCUAAAAGAAAGAGUUCUUUGGCCAAAAAGGCUCCUGCUAAGCCAUCUGCUUCAAAAGGUCCUACAAGAUCUGAACAUCCUCCUAUUAAAAGACAGCUUCCUAUACCUGAAGAAACUAUCGAUGAAAGUGAAAAAAGUCCAAGUGUAGACCCAGAAGAAGAGAAAGAUGAAAUUGAGGAAGUGGGAACAAGUGAGAAAGAUAAAACAGAGGAAGAAGAAGAAGAAGAGAAAGAAGAAGAAGAAAAAAUAGAAACAGAAGACGAAGAAGGAAAAUAAGAAAAUGAUUCAGAGGAUGAUGAGGUUGUGGAAAAAGAUUGUACUAAAGAAACUGCCCAUUUUGAAAGAAAAUCUUCCACUGAAGUAUAACAUGAUACUUCAUAUUUCUUCUUCCUAUCUUCUUCUACUAUUUAUUAAUAGAAUUCUUUCAGGAAACUGCUUCACAUAGCCCUCUUAAUCCUAUUCUGCCAAGUCCUUAAAGAUCUCCAUUGAAAGAAGAGACACUUCUUACUGUCGUUCUUUCAAGAGACCCUCCUACUCCUCCAAUAGGGAAAUCUGCCCAACUAGGAGCUUCUGGUACGAAAGAAGUAGCCGAAUCUCCUUUUCCUCAGAAAAAGGUAAUUCUCAAGUUUGUCAUUUUAUUACAUUUUCAUAUUCCCUUAACCUCAUCUUUCUUUUGCAGGACACUUUUGCCCAUCCUCAAACUUCCAUGGUUGUUACUUCCAUGGGAUCAUUUUCAGCUUUUAGUGACUACUUCCAGGCUGUUGAGUCCUUGGUUGAGGAAAAUAUGACUUCUUCCAGCAGUGCUCUAGCUCUUGUUCCUGGCCCUUCUCAGACUUUUGAAGUAGAUAAACAGGCUUUGAUGACCCUUCUUCAGCAUGACUCUGCCAAUCUCCCUUUCAUUAAAAAUAAACUUUCAAUGGCUUUGAUUAAACUUAGCCAACAUCAAGGUUUCCUAGUGGAGGUUCAAUUGGCCAUUUCUUCAUUCAAAGCUUAGCUUCCCAGCCUAUCUAAGUCUAUCCAGGAUUCCCAUUCUGUAUUUCACAGGUGGAAGAGAAAAACAAGAAAAAAGAUUUUCUUACUGAUAAGCUCAAAAGUUGUGCCGUUCCUUUCAAAUCUCUCAAACCGGAAAUAGAUAACCUCUAAACUAGGGAACUUGAGUUAAGGCAAGCCUUAGCUCAAGUUUAACUUAAUCAACAAGCUCUUAACUCCAAGCUGGAUGGAAUGAAGAAAGAGACCAAAGGUUAUAAGGUGCAGUUUACCAAAGUCCAAAGUGUUCUUCCCAAGUUGGAAGACUCCAAACUACAGGUUGUGGCUUCUUUGAAUCAGUCUAAACUCGUCUGGACUGAUUUUAAAAAUAAAUUUAUGGGUCUGUAAUUUCUGAACAAUAUUUCCUUUUGUUCCCUUUUAGGUCAAUCUUUUGGUUGUGCUGGACUUAUAAAAUCCGCUAAAUAAUUGGAAAGCCACAAUUGGGUUUCUAAACUUGUCCUUUGGAUUUUUCUUCUUGUUUUCCUUUGUGAGUUUUUUAGGAAAGCCAUAAUUGGGUUUCUCAAAUCAUCUUCCUCCA